rnacentral:misc_RNA from 1 species
GAUGAAGAACGCAGCGAAAUGCGAUAAGUAAUGUGAAUUGCAGAAUUCAGUGAAUCAUCGAAUCUUUGAACGCACAUUGCGCCCGCCAGUAUUCUGGCGGGCAUGCCUGUCUGAGCGUCAUUUCAACCCUCAUGCCCCUAGGGCGUGGUGUUGGGGAUCGGCCAAAGCCCGCAAGGGACGGCCGGCCCCUAAAUCUAGUGGCGGACCCGUCGUGGCCUCCCCUGCGAAGUAGUGAUAUUCCGCAUAGGAGAAGCGACGAGCCCCUGCCGUUAAACCCCCAACGUUCUCAGGUUGACCUCAGAUCAGGUAGGAAUACCCGCUGAACUUAAGCAUAUCAAUAAGCGGAGGA